CGAAUGCUGACAUAAGUAACGAUAAAGCGGGUGAAAAGCCCGCUCGCCGGAAGACCAAGGGUUCCUGUCCAACGUUAAUCGGGGCAGGGUGAGUCGACCCCUAAGGCGAGGCCGAAAGGCGUAGUCGAUGGGAAACAGGUUAAUAUUCCUGUACUUGGUGUUACUGCGAAGGGGGGACGGAGAAGGCUAUGUUGGCCGGGCGACGGUUGUCCCGGUUUAAGCGUGUAGGCUGGUUUUCCAGGCAAAUCCGGAAAAUCAAGGCUGAGGCGUGAUGACGAGGCACUACGGUGCUGAAGCAACAAAUGCCCUGCUUCCAGGAAAAGCCUCUAAGCAUCAGGUAACAUCAAAUCGUACCCCAAACCGACACAGGUGGUCAGGUAGAGAAUACCAAGGCGCUUGAGAGAACUCGGGUGAAGGAACUAGGCAAAAUGGUGCCGUAACUUCGGGAGAAGGCACGCUGA
rnacentral:rRNA from 1 species